GCCGGGCGUGGCAGCGUGUGCCUGUAGUCCCAGCUACUCAGGAGGCUGAGGCAGGAGAAUUGCUUGAACUCGGGAGGCAGAGGUUGCAGUGAGCCGAGAUCGCGCCACUGCACUCCAGCCUGGGUGACAGAGCGAGACUUUGUCUCUU
ensembl:misc_RNA Metazoa_SRP Metazoan signal recognition particle RNA